GAUGAACGCUGGCGGCGUGCCUAAUACAUGCAAGUCGAGCGAACAGACGAGGAGCUUGCUCCUCUGACGUUAGCGGCGGACGGGUGAGUAACACGUGGAUAACCUACCUAUAAGACUGGGAUAACUUCGGGAAACCGGAGCUAAUACCGGAUAAUAUAUUGAACCGCAUGGUUCAAUAGUGAAAGACGGUUUUGCUGUCACUUAUAGAUGGAUCCGCGCCGCAUUAGCUAGUUGGUAAGGUAACGGCUUACCAAGGCAACGAUGCGUAGCCGACCUGAGAGGGGGUCGGCCACACUGGGACAUGAAAACGGGUCCAAGCCCCAAGGGGAGGCAGAAGUGGGGAAUUUUCCGAAAAGGGGGAAAGCCUGACGGAGCAACCCCGGGGGGGUGAUGAAGGGCUUCGGAUCGUAAAACCUUGUUUUUAGGGAAAAAAAAAUGUGUAAGUAACCAUGCCCGUUUGGAGGGUACCUAAUAAGAAAGCCCCGGCAAACUCGGG
rnacentral:rRNA from 1 species